GAGGUGUAAAGGUGUCUCGCGAUCAGCAGAUGUACAGCUUAAUUAUUAUUGAGUGAGUGCUCAGAGAAGGUGAAAAGCCUGUGUGGUUGUGUCUAUCUGCUGAAUCGGGUCAACUGACGAGUCUAGUUGUUUGAGAGUACAACUUAAAGCUGGUGGUAAAUUUCAUCAAAGGCUAAAUAUAUGAGGGGACUAAUAGCGAACAAGUACCAUGAGGGAAAGUUGAAAAGGACUCUGACGAGAGAGUUCAACAGUACGUGAAACCAUAUUGAGUAAAACAGAUAACUGUGUUGUUAUGUGGUAUGCCUAUCAACAGCGUAUUUGGUGUUGUGAUGCUGUGAGUGUCAGCUGUCUAUUCAGCCGAGCGCUCAUAGUUAGCAUAGCCAAAAGUUCUGUGCACUAGUGCAUACUCGAUCAUUGAGAAGCUAUGCUCCUGCGACAAUAGUGUGCAUCAGUCCGUACCUAGUGCGUGGUUGCAUGCUAGGCUCAGCUAGGGGCGUAGCUUAGCUGUGUGACAGCUGUGGACUGCGUUUACUGAAUGUACUUGCUUUGUCAGCGAAUUGGUUUAUUCCUUUUUUGCUGUGAGUAUAGUGCAGUAGGUAAGUGGCCCGCCAUCAAUGGUUAACAUUAGUUAUUUGACCCGUCUUGAAACACGGACCAAGGAGUUCAAAUGGCACGCGAGUCAUUGGGUUUCAGCACCCGAAGGCGAAGUGAAAUGCAAACGUAUCGUUACUCGUGGUUGUUCCGCGACUAAGCGAUAAGCUACUC
rnacentral:rRNA from 1 species